rnacentral:rRNA from 1 species
AGAGUUUGAUCAUGGCUCAGAUUGAACGCUGGCGGCAGGCUUAACACAUGCAAGUCGAGCGGGGGAAGGUAGCUUGCUACUGGACCUAGCGGCGGACGGGUGAGUAAUGCUUAGGAAUCUGCCUAUUAGUGGGGGACAACAUUCCGAAAGGAAUGCUAAUACCGCAUACGUCCUACGGGAGAAAGCAGGGGACCUUCGGGCCUUGCGCUAAUAGAUGAGCCUAAGUCGGAUUAGCUAGUUGGUGGGGUAAAGGCCUACCAAGGCGACGAUCUGUAGCGGGUCUGAGAGGAUGAUCCGCCACACUGGGACUGAGACACGGCCCAGACUCCUACGGGAGGCAGCAGUGGGGAAUAUUGGACAAUGGGGGGAACCCUGAUCCAGCCAUGGCCGCGUGUGUGAAGAAGGCCUUAUGGUUGUAAAGCACUUUAAGCGAGGAGGAGGCUACUAGUAUUAAUACUACUGGAUAGUGGACGUUACUCGCAGAAUAAGCACCGGCUAACUCUGUGCCAGCAGCCGCGGUAAUACAGAGGGUGCGAGCGUUAAUCGGAUUUACUGGGCGUAAAGCGUGCGUAGGCGGCCAUUUAAGUCAAAUGUGAAAUCCCCGAGCUUAACUUGGGAAUUGCAUUCGAUACUGGAUGGCUAGAGUAUGGGAGAGGAUGGUAGAAUUCCAGGUGUAGCGGUGAAAUGCGUAGAGAUCUGGAGGAAUACCGAUGGCGAAGGCAGCCAUCUGGCCUAAUACUGACGCUGAGGUACGAAAGC